rnacentral:misc_RNA from 1 species
CCUUUCAUCACCAGCCAUAUUUCCCUAACCCUUAUUUGGCCUCAUCAAAUCUCGGUAAUGCAGCAACGUCACAAAUUUUCAAUCCCAUGAUUGGAAUGUUUGGAGAGAUGAUGUUUGCAAGAAUUUUUGGGACGACAGACGCAAGUUUGUUUGCUUAUUACUACCCAAAUUCUAACCAUCUGAUGGGAGGCUAUAGCCAUAGGAUGAGGAGGCAGGAGAUGCAGCUUGAAAAGUCUCUAAAUAGGGUGACAAUCUUUCUUCUUUGCUGCAUCAUUCUGUGUCUUCUCUUGUUUUGAUCAUUUUAGUUUUAAGCUUUUGUAUACUUGUAUUAAGUAAUGAAAAGAAGCCAUGAACAUAUUCACAGGACAUAGGCGCUAUUAGAAAAUUUCCUGGGAAAUCAGUUUGUGAGGUUUCCCAUGUGGCAUUUUUGCAUGUAAAUAAAUGUUAUUCUUUACAGGCACUUUCUCAUCCAUUAAUAUUAUUUGAUAUUCUUGAGCUCUA